GGCGCUCAGACUUUGGUCUGCCUUAUUUGGCGCUCGACAUGAAAACGUGAAGAUUGGUGAAAAUAGAAGCUCCAAUUAUCACAGGGGUUCUGGAUAGUGAUUUUGGGUUGAAAUUUCUUCAGUGGAAGCAUCGUGAUUUCCUGAUGAUGACUUCUAUCAGUCAUCAAAAAUUCACAGAGCCAACAUCACAUGAGUUGCUCCCCGCUUCCCACAUGAAAGGACUAGAAUUAAGAGAAAGAAGAGCUGGUACACAACAAGACCGAGGACUAAAGCACUGUUUCGGGAUAUUUUCAG